rnacentral:lncRNA from 1 species
CCUGGCAAGCGUGAGCUUACUGUUCGACGUCGCCCUCUUUACUGGAGCACUCAAGAACGACAUAUUCCUGAUAGAGAUUGCCGGACUGUGGGGAUCGAUCGACUGCAUCGCUGACGCGGUUAUUGGCUUCCUGUCGGCCAACUACACACUGCCUGCAUACCUCAACAAAGACCGAGCUCAGACACGAGAAGUAGCUCGAGAACGAGAGCGUCAAACUGCAGUCGCAAGACAGUUCUACCACUUCACCUGGGUUCUGACGCGACUUGUAUUGAAGGUGAGGUAUUCGUAAUUCUUUCUUUAAA